rnacentral:lncRNA from 1 species
AUGUCCCGGGGCGAGGGGCGCAGAGCGGCGAGGGGCGCCUCCAGGCGCGCGGGGGCCUCCCGGGUCUUCGCGGCUCCCGACCCGAGGAGCGCGCGGCGGGGGGGGGCUCGGUCCCCGCCGCGGGCGCCGGACGCGCGCGGGCCUUUGUGUGCGGGGAGGGCGCCGGGACCCUCUGCGCGCGGCUCCUCGCUCCGCCGGCGCCGCCGUCCCCGCCGCGGAGAGUCAGCGCGGCCGGCGCGCUGUCAGAGCGCUAUAAACGCGGGGCCCCGCCCCGUGCCGCGCCGCCCAUUGGCCCGCCGCAGGGCAGCCGCACGCCGGUUGGGCGGCAGGCCCGUCCGUCAUCCGCCCCCGCCCGACAUUGGGCGCCGCGAGGCGGGGCGCCGGCUGACAGGUGAGCCCCGCCCCCGGCCCCGGCCCCGGCCCCGGCCCCGGCCCCGGCCCGGGCGGUGGCGCAGCGGGGAGCUCGGCCCGGCCGCCGCGGAAGGCGGGUGGGGGGCGGUGCCCAGCGCGUGGCCCCGGCGCCCCUCCGGCAGCGGGGCGGGGGUGCCGGGGGUGCCGGGGGUGCGGUGCAGGACGGCCGAACGCGCAGCGCGGACAGCGCGGGGCCGGCUGUGCCCGCGCCCGGCUCGCGCCUGCAGCGGCCGCCAGGGGCUCCAACUUCAGCAGAGGGACCACGUCGGGGGCGAAACUUUCCCUGCGGGGCGGAGGGCGGUGGGUGUCCCCGCGGGUCUUCCUCCUUCCCGCGCAGCGUCCCUCUGCGGGGCUGGCGCACACCCCGCACGCGCAUCCCUGCGCUGCCCGCGGCCCGGCGGCACCGGAUUUCGGCUCCUGAGGGCGGCGGGGCCCGGACCGAAGGCGACUGGCGGGGCCGCCGACAGUGGGGCGCAGGCGUCCCGGGCCCGCGCCCGCGCCCGCGCCCGCGCCCUGCACCGCGCCUCCCGGAGGGCGGCAGCCCAGGCGUUCCCUGGAGGGUGGCCGGCCCCCCCGCGCCCGCGCCCGCCGCGGGACCUCCUGGCCUCGGAGACACGCUCUCACAGCCCAACAGCCCCAAGGUGA